rnacentral:tmRNA from 2 species
CCCCUUCCUUAAAAUUGCGAGAGCGCCUAUAUUUGCUUCGCCGGUUCGCCGGCUAUGGCGAUAAACGAACAUCGAAAUAAACCAUCCGGACCCGGGGGCGGUACCCGGCGCCUCCACCAGAGCCCGUAAGGCGGGCUGCGGCGGGGGCGAAAUAGGAUCGACGGGGGCGUAAAGGGUGCUUUUUCGCUCGGCAUGAUACCGCCGUUAUCGGGUCAAACCUUAUAGUUGCCAACGACAACUAUGCUCCGGUGGCCGUCGCUGCGUAAUGCAGCGCUGGUACUGGGAAUCAAGCCCUAGGAGUUAGCGCUUCUAGGCGGGGCUCGGAGGCGCCUGGCAACAGAAGCCUCCACU